AUGGACGGCAGACCGGUGACGGCGGAUGACGUGGUGGAGGCGAUGCGGGAGUUCGUCUGGUUGCGGCCGCCGCGCCCCUCCUCCGAGUUCUUCUCCCGCUUCAGUGCCCCGCGGUCUUGCUCCAAGUGGAUCAGCCGCCUCGAGUGCAACCUCUACUACUAUGGGACCAACUACUUCAUCUUGAUCAUAUUGAUAGGGAUGAGCUUCCUUCAGAAACCAGUUACCAUAAUUACAGCUUUUGCAACUGGCCUCAGCAUUGCAUUUAUCAGUGACAGUUUUGCAGUUACUUCCACCGACAAAGUUAUAAGCAUUGUCAGAAAAUUCUCACCGGAUUUAGCUGCCAAGAUGAGACCGUACAUGAACCCUUUCCUUCAUGGCCGACCAAGUAUAAAGGGAUCAACUCAUAUUUGUGGCCGACCUCUGUCUAUGUGGGUCAUUGCCCUGUUCCUUUUUGAAGUUAGCUGCAUUUUCUGGGCGAGCUCCUGCAAUUUCCUGAUAGUUCCGUGGGCACUAUACGUUGGUGUACUCGUAACCUUGAUUCAUGCCAGCUUCAGAGAACGUAAUCUGAAAGGUCGUUUCAACAGAUCCAGGAAGGAAUGUCGAGAAGCAUGGUAA
rnacentral:rRNA from 1 species